rnacentral:rRNA from 1 species
AUACGUAGGGGGCAAGCGUUAUCCGGAUUUACUGGGUGUAAAGGGAGCGUAGGCGGCGAAGCAAGUCAGAUGUGAAAAUCCAGUGCUCAACAUUGGACGUGCAUUUGAAACUGUUUAGCUAGAGUACCGGAGAGGUAAGAGGAAUUCCUAGUGUAGCGGUGAAAUGCGUAGAUAUUAGGAGGAACACCAGUGGCGAAGGCGUCUUACUGGACGGAUACUGACGCUGGGGCUCGAAAGCGUGGGGAGCAAACAGGAUUAGAUACCCUGGUAGUCCACGCUGUAAACUAUGAUAACUAUCUUUUAGCGAUACACAGUUAGAGGGUACGAGAAAUCAUUAAGUUAUCCACCUGGGGAUUACGUUCGCAAGAAUGAAACUCAAAUGAAUUGACGGGG